UGGGGAAUAUUGGACAAUGGGCGCAAGCCUGAUCCAGCCAUGCCGCGUGAGUGACGAAGGCCUUAGGGUUGUAAAGCUCUUUUGGCGGGGACGAUAAUGACGGUACCCGCAGAAUAAGCCCCGGCUAACUUCGUGCCAGCAGCCGCGGUAAUACGAAGGGGGCUAGCGUUGUUCGGAAUCACUGGGCGUAAAGCGCACGUAGGCGGAUGUGCCAGUCAGGGGUGAAAUCCCUCGGCUUAACCGGGGAACUGCGUCUGAUACUGGAUGGCUUGAAUCCGGGAGAGGGAUGUGGAAUUCCAGGUGUAGCGGUGAAAUGCGUAGAUAUCUGGAGGAACACCGGUGGCGAAGGCGGCAUCCUGGACCGGUAUUGACGCUGAGUGAGCGAAAGCCAGGGGAGCAAACGGGAUUAGAUACCCGUGUAGUCCCUGAGCGGGCUGGCAAGGCGCAU
rnacentral:rRNA from 1 species